rnacentral:rRNA from 1 species
CAACUUUCAGCAACGGAUUUCUUGGCUCUCGCAUCGAUGAAGAACGCAGCGAAAUGCGAUACGUAAUGUGAAUUGCAGAACUCAGUGAAUCAUCGAAUUUUUGAACGCACCUUGCGCUCUUUAGUUAUUCUGAAGAGCAUGCUUGUUUCAGUGUCGCGAACCUCUCAACCCCGCC